rnacentral:rRNA from 1 species
GAUGAACGCUGGCGGCGUGCCUAAUACAUGCAAGUCGAGCGAACAGACGAGGAGCUUGCUCCUCUGACGUUAGCGGCGGACGGGUGAGUAACACGUGGGUAACCUACCUAUAAGACUGGGAUAACUUCGGGAAACCGGAGCUAAUACCGGAUAACAUGUUGAACCGCAUGGUUUAACAGUGAAAGACGGUCUUGCUGUCACUUAUAGAUGGAUCCGCGCCGCAUUAGCUAGUUGGUAAGGUAACGGCUUACCAAGGCAACGAUGCGUAGCCGACCUGAGAGGGUGAUCGGCCACACUGGAACUGAGACACGGUCCAGACUCCUACGGGAGGCAGCAGUAGGGAAUCUUCCGCAAUGGGCGAAAGCCUGACGGAGCAACGCCGCGUGAGUGAAGAAGGUCUUCGGAUCGUAAAACUCUGUUAUUAGGGAAGAACAAAUGUGUAAGUAACUAUGCACGUCUUGACGGUACCUAAUCAGAAAGCCACGGCUAACUACGUG